GACGAACGCUGGCGGCGCGCUUAACACAUGCAAGUCGAGCGAAGCGGCGGACGGGUGAGUACCACGUGAGUAACCUGCCUUAGCCAUUGGGAUAGCCUCGGGAAACCGGGAUUAAUACCAAAUGGUCUAAGAUGGCCUCGCGUCCCCUUAGCUAGUUGGUGAGGUAACGGCCCACCAAGGCGACGAUGGGUAGCCGGCCUGAGAGGGUGAACGGCCACAUUGGAACUGAGAAACGGUCCAAACUCGACGGGAGGCAGCAGUGGGGAAUAUUGCACAAUGGAGGGAACUCUGAUGCAGCGACGCCGCGUGAACGAAGAAGGCUUGCGAGUCGUAAAGUUCUUUUAUAUGGGAAGGGGUACCAUAAGAAAAAGCCCCGGCUAACUACGUGCCAGCAGACGCGGUAAUUC
rnacentral:rRNA from 1 species